CAAAUCAGGUAGGACUACCCGCUGAACUUAAGCAUAUCAAUAAGCGGAGGAAAAGAAACUAACAAGGAUUCCCCUAGUAACUGCGAGUGAAGCGGGAAAAGCUCAAAUUUGUAAUCUGGCGGUCUUUGGCCGUCCGAAUUGUAAACUAGAGAAGUGCUAUCCGCGCUGGACCGUGUACAAGUCCCCUGGAAUGGGGCGUCAUAGAGGGUGAGAAUCCCGUCUUUGACACGGACUACCAGGGCUUUGUGAUGCGCUCUCAACGAGUCGAGUUGUUUGGGAAUGCAGCUCAAAAUGGGUGGUAAAUUCCAUCUAAAGCUAAAUAUUGGCGAGAGACCGAUAGCGAACAAGUACCGUGAGGGAAAGAUGAAAAGAACUUUGGAAAGAGAGUUAAACAGUACGUGAAAUUGCUGAAAGGGAAACGCUUGAAGUCAGUCGCGUUGGCUAGGGAUCAACCUUGCUUCUGCAUGGUGUACUUCCUUGUUGACGGGUCAGCAUCAGUUUUGGCUGCUGGAUAAAGAUCAGAGGAAUGUGGCAUCUUCGGAUGUGUUAUAGCCUUUGGUCAGAUACAGUGGCUGGGACUGAGGAACUCAGCACGCGCAAGCUGUGCUUAGGAUGC
rnacentral:rRNA from 1 species